ensembl:misc_RNA Metazoa_SRP Metazoan signal recognition particle RNA
ACCGGGCACAGAGGCACAUGCCUGUAGUCCCAGCUACUCAGGAGGUUGAGGUGGGAGGAUCGCUUGAGCCCAGGAGUUCUGGGCUGUAGUGCCCUAUGCCAAUCUGGUAUCUGCACUAAGUUUGGCAUCAAUAUGGUGACCUCCCAGGAGCGGGGACCACCAGGUUGCCUAAGGAGGAGUGAACCGGCCCAGGUUGGAAACGGAGUAGGUCAAAACUCCCGUGCUGAUCAGUAGUGGGAUCAUGCCUGUGAAUAGCCACUGCACUCCAGCCUGGGCAACAUAGUGAGACCCCAUCUCUA